rnacentral:lncRNA from 10 species
UUUCACCAUAUUGGCCAGGCUGGUCUCAAACUCCUGACCUCAGGUGAUCCGCCUGCCUCACCCUCCCAAAGUGCUGGGAUUACAGGUGUGAGCCACCAUGCCCAGCCUAGUAUAUUUCUGAAUACUAAAAAAAAAAAAAAAAAAAAAAAAUCUUCAUAUUUUUUGAGGAAAUUCUACUUGAACAUGGUGGAAAGUCCCUAAAUAUGUUAUUUAAUUUAAUUUGUAAUUUUUUUUCUCUCUUGUUUUUUAUUUAUUAGAGAUGUCGUCUCGCUCUGUCACCCAGGCUGGAGUGCAGUGGUGCUAUCAUAGCUCACUGAAGCCUUGAACUCCUGGGCUUAAGCAGUCCUCCUACCUUGGCCUUCUGAGUAGCUGAGUCUACAGGUGUACACCACUGUGCCCAGCUCUCCCUCACUCACGGCUAAUUUUUAAAUUUUUUUUAAAGAUGGGGUCUUGCGAUGUUGGCCAGACUGUUCUUGAACUCCUGGCUUCGAGCAAUCCUCUUGCAUCAGGUUCCGAAAGUGUUGGAAUUACAGAGCCACUGCACCCAGCCUAAUUUGUUAAGGUGACAUGGGAAGCGAUCAUUGUGAGUCAUCCAGGGAACACAGGGAGAGUUAAGCUGAUGGUGACGCACACCUGCCAACUGCUGAGAAGAAGAUAAUCAGCCCUCAGGAAUUUUCGACCCAGCCGCACUGCACAGCCUGGUUGCUGGACUCCUAGGACCAAGCCUCCUGGGCCUGGCAGGCAGCUGUAAUUCAGAGUGGGUCGGGGCUCCAGGAUGUGUUGUUUCCUGUGCAUUGCACUUCGCAGAGGCACAGAGCAGAAGCUAAGCCUGAUGGCCUCUGAACACUGGUUGGGUUUUUUGUUUUUUUUUUUUCCUGGCAACAAAAUUAAAGCCGCACCUAGGGAUUUAUCCACCCUUUUGCUGAUCUCGAUGUGAACUGUGCAGCUGAAUCCCUGCACACAGUACUGACUCUCUCAGGGUGUUGCUUAAAAUGUGGCUGAGCACAAAUGCAAAACAUCGUCUUGUUGAAGUCAGCACACAGAAUUAAUCUCUAAAAGUAAUGAAAGAAUUAGUUUCACUUUGUAAGAUAAAUAAAUGCAAAGUAUGGUGAAGUCAGAGAUGUUCAGCUCAGUUGCUUUUAGACGGCGACAUCUUUUGAAAAUGAUAUUAUAUAUUUGGGACACAUUUUAAUGCCACUCUAAUAUUUUGUGUCAUUAUAAGGAUGCUUUGGGUUUUUUUGUUGUUGUUUUUGAAGUCUAUUAUCAUAUGAGUUUUUUUUUUUUUUUUUUUUUUUUUUUUGAGACAGAGUCUCGCUGUCGCCCAGGCUGGAGUGCGUGGCGCGAUCUCGGCUCACUGCAGGCUCCGCCCCCCGGGGUUCACGCCAUUCUCCUGCCUCAGG